AUUGAACGCUGGCGGCAGGCCUAACACAUGCAAGUCGGGCGGGGUUUUCGGACCUAGCGGCGGACGGGUGAGUAAUGCGUAGGAAGCUACCCGAUAGAGGGGGAUACCAGUUGGAAACGACUGUUAAUACCGCAUAAUGUCUACGGACCAAAGUGUGGGACCUUCGGGCCACAUGCUAUCGGAUGCGCCUACGUGGGAUUAGCUAGUUGGUGAGGUAAUGGCUCACCAAGGCGACGAUCCCUAGCUGGUUUGAGAGGAUGAUCAGCCACACUGGAACUGAGACACGGACCAGACGCCUACGGGAGGCAGCAGUGGGGAAUAUUGGACAAUGGGCGCAAGCCUGAUCCAGCCAUGCCGCGUGUGUGAAGAAGGCCUUCGGGUUGUAAAGCACUUUGAGUAGGGAGGAAGCGUUGUGUGUUAAUAGUACACAGCGUUGACGUUACCUACAGAAGAAGCACCGGCUAACUCUGUGCCAGCCGCCGCCGUAACAC
rnacentral:rRNA from 1 species